GUUGAGUCAACUUCUCCAGCAAAUCGGUAACUUUGGAAUAUUGCAUAUCAUGUGAUUGACUUUGAUUGUGCAGGUUCAAUUUGAUAAUUGUGAAAGAUAUCUCUCUAGGCUAUAAAAUGACGGAAUCGAGUCAUUUGGUUUCACGACUUUUGAGAAUUAUUUUGUAUCUUUCAUUUUUUCCUUGUAAUUCAAUAGUGUAAAAGCUGGCUAAGCUUCUCUGUUUUAUAAGCCUAAGUGUAGCACCUUAGUCUUGUAUUUGUAAGUGGCUAACAAUUGCACCUUGUGCAUACUAUUUGAUCAUAUCUCGUUGGGAUAAUGUGGUUCGAGUGUCUUUAGGAGAAAACAACUACAAGGCUUUCAUCGAGAGGAAGAAAGUGAAAUCUUCGAGAGAAAACAUCACUGAAUAUUGAAGGAAUUUUAGUCGCGAGUGAGUCGACAAACUUGGUGGACUGGUUACUGUCAAGAAUGAGAGUUGUAAUUAAUUGUAAUUAGUUGUUAACAAAGCUGGUUCUGUUAGAGUAGUUAGAUUAGUUUUUUAGAUAGUUAGUGUUAACUAACUAAUUAGUCUUUAUGUUUAACAGAACUCUAUAAAUAAGUUGUAAUCCCUUUUCUCAGUUUAAUAAGAAUCACUUUCUGUUUUUCUGUUUCUUUAACAUGGUAUCAAAGCUCUGAUGCUUCUCUCUGUCGUUCCCCUAAAAUUUCUCUUGAUCCCGUUCCGCCAUGGAUUCUCCACCUCCGUCCACGGCAACUCAGGCCACUUCGUUUGACGCUUCGUCCUCUUCGUUUGUUCCACUCGGACUGCAGGUGAGGUUAACCCAGCCUUUGCGAAUUGGGAUCAGCAAGAUCAAUUGCUCUAUUCCUGGUUGUUAUCGUCUAUGACAGAACCAAUUCUCACUCGUGUCGUUCGAAGUGGUACAUCUGCGAAGCUUUGGUCGGUUCUUGAAACCUAUUUUGCAUCUUAAACGGAGGCCAAGAUUGAUCAAUGUACAACGGAGCAUCAGAAUAUCAAGAAAGGGUCACAAUCUCUUACUGACUAUCUCCUCAAGGUUCGAUCCCUAAUUGAUAAACUCAACUCAGUAAGACACAUUACUACUACCAAAGAUCAUAUCACUGCAAUCUUUCGUGGUCUGCCUUCACCAGAUUACGACACUUUUGUUAUCUCUGUUAACUCUCGUUCUGAACCGCUUGGUGUGGCUGCUCUUGAAGCUCUUCUCUUAGCUCAAGAACAUCGAAUUGAACGACAACAUAAAGAUUUGGAUUCUGCUUCUGUAAAUCUUUCCAAUUCUAACUUCAAGCCUCGUGGUGCAUUUCAUUCUAAUUCUUCAAGAAAUUUUGGACAGGGAUUUCUGAAUCCCUUUGCUACUGGACGUGGGGAUAAUUACUCAAGUUCGAUGAAUCAAUUCCCUCCAGGCAAUGGAUCUGGUGGACGUGGUGUUUCAUAUACAUCCAAUUCUAGCCAAGCACAGUACUGUUCUCAUGUCAGCAAACCCAGUUCUACACUCUCGAACCAAGCACAUUGAACUGGAUUUAUUCUUUGUCAGAGAAAAGGUUUUGGCCAAAACUUUGGUGGUCAAACAUACUCCUGCACAUGAACAAGUCGCUGAUGUCCUCACCAAGGCACUGUCACGCACCAGAUUUCUUUUUCUUCGAUCCAAACUUAGUGUGGCUUCCUUGUCCACCCUAAGUUUGAGGGGGCAUGUUAAGAAUGAGAGUUGUAAUUAAUUGUAAUUAGUUGUUAACAAAGUUGGUUCUGUUAGAGUAGUUAGAUUAGUUUUUUAGUUAGUUAGUGUUAACUAACUGAUAAGACUUUAUGUUUAACAGAACUCUAUAAAUAAGUUGUAAUCCCUUUUCUCAGUUUAAUUAGAAUCACUUUCUGUUUUUCUGUUUCUUUAACAGUUACAAAAA